UGAGGAAUCUUGCGCAAUGGGGGCAACCCUGACGCAGCGACGCCGCGUGAGUGAGGAAGGCCUUCGGGUCGUAAAGCUCUGUCAAAGGGAAAGAAGUGUGCAAUGGCUAAUACCUGUUGCAUUUGACGGUACCCUUAAAGGAAGCACCGGCUAACUCCGUGCCAGCAGCCGCGGUAAUACGGAGGGUGCAAGCGUUGUUCGGAAUCACUGGGCGUAAAGGGCGCGCAGGCGGUUUGAUAAGUCAGAUGUGAAAGCCCAUGGCUUAACUGUGGAAGUGCAUUUGAAACUGUCAGACUUGAGUAUCAGAGGGGAAAGUGGAAUUCCCGGUGUAGAGGUGAAAUUCGUAGAUAUCGGGAGGAACAUCAGUGGCGAAGGCGCCCUUCUGGACAGCAACUGACGCUGAGACGCGAAAGCGUGGGGAGCAAACA
rnacentral:rRNA from 1 species